CUUGGGACCCAUGCUCUGCAAUUUCCAGAAACGGCCUCUUCUUGAGACUGUCAGGAGACAACUUGGCAUGAUAGAAGAUGGGCAUUUAAGAACUCAACCUGAAUUCAUACCACUGACUUAAAACUUGCUACCUGGGUGACCUUGGGAAAAUUUCUUGUCAACUCUGGCUAGAACUUGCAUGGCAGGAGACUUGCUCCGCGAGGGCUCUGUCUGCUCUUCUUGCUGCUGGCACAAAGUAUUUGGUGAAGGAAUGAAUGAAUGACCAAGUGAAUGGAGCAGAAGGAAGAGGCAAUGUCCCUUCUCAGUCAGUCUGGGGACAGAAAGUGUGGAAUCGCGGUUGGAAGUGGGAAGCACAGCAAGGAUCCAUGUCUCCAGCUUCGCCCGCCCAGGACAUCCACAUGGCACUGUUUUCUCGGUGGAAAAACCCUGGACCAGAGUCAAGACUGAGAAAUUCACCUCCUCUUCAAGCACAGUGCACAGAAUAUCCUGGAAAGCAUGGACUUUGGAUCAGACAAUCAUGAGUUCACAUUCUGGCUCUACGGUCUUCCAGCUAUGCCUCAGUUUCAUCAUCUAUCAAAUGGGGGCAAUUAGACCCGCUCCAUUGAGCCUUUCCCGCUUCAGCGAGGAGGGUGUGCACACAGUGAGCUCAGCUCAGAUGGCUCAAGGGCCUUUACAUCCUCCGUCUCUCAGUCUCCAGUUAGCAUGAAAGCACUGAGCAAUGGGAGAUUUGUCAUUUGUUUAUCCUUUCUCCCUGUAUAGAACUUCCUUUAAAUCUCUCAGAUGAAGCACAAGUCAAGAGCAUAGGAGCAAGUCAUUAAAGAGCAUUACAAGUUGAAUCAUGUCCUGCCCACAGAAGACACCUUGAGGUCCUACCCCUUGGUGACUUCACUGUGACCUUUUGUAGAAGUAGGGCAUGUGCAGAUGUAAUUGAGGUAAGUUGAUAGGCCCUCGUCCAGUGCGACCAAUGUCCUUAUAAGAAGGGGAGAUGGCCAGGGAAAACAGGUACACAGGGCGAACAGGGACACCAGGGCUGGAGACCACACCAAGGCAGCCAGAAGCCAGGGCUGGAUCGCCACAUCAAGCCUAGGAAGGGCCGAGGAAGGGGUCUUCCUGCAGGAGACAGAGGGAGCAGGCCCAGCUCCCAAACUGUGACACAGUGCAUUUCUGCUGUUUUAAGCCACCUCACUUGGGGUGCUUUGUCACAGCAAAGAGAAUGAGUACAAAGAGUAACUUUCAUCACAGGACUGUAUUAAUUUAAACCUUUAAUAAGGAGAUGGCCAGUCUCACUUGGUGGCCGACCUCAGCGUCCCUUAGACUACUGGGGAAGUUAGUGCUUCUGUCUCCUCCACCUUCCUUGCCUCUAGGGAGACAGAACUUUCUCAUCCUGGGAUUGUUCUCAGUGGUCUUUCUAGUUCUUUCUCCUCUGCCCCCUGCCCUGACUCCAGUCUUUAUGAGCUUGUGGCCCAGCUCCCGACCCUCAUGCUGUCACAGGUCUCUCUGCUCCCCUGCAGUUCCUUGGGCUCUCGCAUUUCUAGAGAAACAGAGGGAGAGAGAAAUGGGUUCUGUCCUCUCUCUCUCUCUCUUUUUUUUUUGGUACCAUGGAUGGAACUCAGGACCUUGCACUUUCAAGGCGGGUGGUGGAACCACUGAGCUACAUCCCUGGCCCGGUUCUGGCCUCUCUUGGCUCCGCCUCUUUUCUUCUGGAAUCCACAUUGGACAGUGUCUCAGCUAGAGGCAGAACUGAGUUUGUCCAGCUGCCUAAACUUGGUUGGAAUCAUUAGAGGUUCUCUUGUGGUGUUUAGAAUUCUCCACUUUCCAGUCCCAGGAGAGGAGGAGACGGGGGUAGGAACAGUUGCCAGUUCUGCCCCACCCCCUCACUCCCCACAUGGCUCCUGGCAGCACAGCCAUGCUGGCCAGCCCUGAGAGCCCCCGAAGGGAAAUUAUUACCAGUACAUCCUUUGCAGUGCAACAUCUGUAGUGCAGCCCAAAGAGAAGGGUCGAAAAGUGAGGUAUGGGGAAGACUGCCUAGUAAAGUUAUAAAGAAUGUGCACUGCACAAUUCCAGGGGGCCACUAGGCACACAGACCACAAUGGAAUGGCACUCCCUAGGGUUAUGUAAUGUAGGGGCUCUGGGCACAACAAGGCCUAUUGCAGUUACCGGGCCUUCCAGGAGCCAAACCUGACUUUCUUCAUCUGCCCUGUCCCCAGUUAGCUUGAAGGUGGCAGAGGAGAUGGGGCUCUUGUUGCAGUCCUGAAGAACCUGCCUGUUCUCAGAGUGGAGAGGAAAGCAGCCGGAAGCCCGGGCUCAGGCCAGAAGAGGCAGGUGCAGCAGGACACGGUCACCCAAAACAGGCUGGGCUCUGAGACAUCAGGAAUGGGGCCUGGGCCAGAUGUGCAUAAAGGGAGCUGUGCUUUGAGCUUGAUUUUUUGUGGGAUGGGGUUGUACCAUCUCACUCCCCUGCCUACAAACCUAUGGGCUGAGAAUCCUCACACCCACUUCACAGAUAAGGAAACUGAGGCCCAGAAAGGCCCAUCUCUCUGUCAAAGGCACACUGCUGGGGAAGAGCAUACUGGGCUGGGAGUCCCUCUCCCUGAUCCGCUCCUAGAAGACACUGGCUUCCUGGAUGUUCCCACAAACCCCAGUUCCAGGUGUGUUAAUAAAGGUGACAAUGUGCUACAGUCUCGGUCACAACUGAACAAAGACAAGAUGGAGCUGGAGUUUCUGGGAUAAGUACUGGGGGUGAGACCAGAGUGAGCUGUCACAGCGUCCUUUGUGACAGGGGCUACCCUCGGAGGUGGUAACCUCAGGAAGACCAGC